rnacentral:rRNA from 1 species
AUUGAACGCUGGCGGCAGGCCUAACACAUGCAAGUCGAGCGAGCGGCGGGCGGGUGAGUAAUGUAUGGGGGCUGCUCGAUGGAGGUGGAUAACUACAGGAAACGGUAGCUAAUACCGCAUACUAUCGGAUAACCCAGAUGGGAUUAGCUGGUAGGUGGGGUACUGGCUCACCAGGGCGACGAUCCCUAGCUGGUCUGGGAGGAUGAUCAGCCACACUGGGACUGAGACACGGCCCAGACUCCUACGGAGGCAGCAGUGGGGAAUAUUGCACAAUGGGCGCAAGCCUGAUGCAGCCAUGCCGCGUGUACGAUGAAGGCCUUCGGGUUGUAAAGUACUUUCAGUCGGGAAGCGUUACCGACAGAAGAAGCACCGGCUAACUCCGUGCCAGCCGCCGCGGUAAUUC